rnacentral:rRNA from 1 species
GGAAUUUUCCGCAAUGGGCGAAAGCCUGACGGAGCAACGCCGCGUGAGGGAUGAAGGCCUCUGGGCUGUAAACCUCUUUUAUCAAGGAAGAAGAUCUGACGGUACUUGAUGAAUAAGCCACGGCUAAUUCCGUGCCAGCAGCCGCGGUAAUACGGGAGUGGCAAGCGUUAUCCGGAAUUAUUGGGCGUAAAGCGUCCGCAGGCGGUCUUUUAAGUCUGUCGUCAAAGCGUGGAGCUUAACUCCAUUACUGCGAUGGAAACUGGGAGACUAGAGUGUGGUAGGGGCAGAGGGAAUUCCCGGUGUAGCGGUGAAAUGCGUAGAUAUCGGGAAGAACACCAGUGGCGAAGGCGCUCUGCUGGGCCAUAACUGACGCUCAUGGACGAAAGCCAGGGGAGCGAAAGGGAUUAGAUACCCCUGUAGUCCUGGCCGUAAACGAUGAACACUAGGUGUCGGGGGAAUCGACCCCCUCGGUGUCGUAGCCAACGCGUUAAGUGUUCCGCCUGGGGAGUACGCACGCAAGUGUGAAACUCAAAUGAAUUGACGGA